CUCAGGUUCAAGAGAAAAGGAGCUGCAAAGAACAGAAAACGGGAGUCUAAGACACUUACUUGACAAUAUCGACUUCUUGUUCCCCAUGUCGGCGACAUGUAUGGACACAGUUUUGCUUGUCUUAUCGUGGUCAUAAGCUACUAAAUGACAUCGAAUAUGUCAACUACAGUAAGAGAUUGUGAUGGAACGAGAUUGGCAAGUUUCCAAUUUAUGACCAAGAGUAGAUGGACAAAGUAAAAACUCACCGGAUGCGCUAUGUUGUUCAACUAGGUUACGUUGAAGGAACCAACAAAUAUACACCUCUAUUAAUUAUUAUUUUUUCGAAGUUUAGUAUGUCUGGUCUUAAUUUAGAACAUUUAUGUAAUUGGUUUUAU